UCAUGGUCACGCUCUGAAUGCCGUGGGAGGGAAGCCCGGCACAGUCUUCCCGUAGGGCACUUGGGACUUUUGUGAUCCGUGUUUGGCGUCGCUGCGUUUUCACAGAGCAGCAAGCCUGGCUGGACCCCGUGCCCAGAGCCCCUCCCCAUCAACUCCGCCAGUUCCACUCCAGCCAGAAACAAUGCAUCGGCCAGGAGCGAAGCCAGGGCAACGUUGCUGUGCGUUUCUUUAGUGGCAAGUUCAGAGCAUCCCUGCCCAACCCCCUCGGCCCCUCCCCCUUGUGAAACGCAGCGCCGGUUAUACCACCCCCGGAGCUCCUGGGGGCGCUGUUCGCGUAGACUAAAACAUGGAUGUCGCCUUCGGAAGGCUUGAGCCACAGCUGCACGGAUUCCCCGUGACCCACUCAUGACCUGGCCACAGAGACCCAUGUCGAGUCCCGGUUAACAAGGAAGUGUGUGGUUCAAGAAAGAGGAAGAAAUUGGCAGCUGUCAUUGAAGCCUUUCCAUGAAUUCAGAUAGGCAAGUCCAAGGCAGGACCUCUCAGGAAGCCAGCACGAGGCUCCUUGGAGGUAGAGAUGAUUAGAAAUCUUGGAGCAAUUAUGGAAAAUUGAUUGAAUUGCAGGAUAAAAGAGUACCUUCAUUUUGGCAAGAUGAUUUGGGACUCUUCUUGAUACUCCUCUCUGUGGACGCGGGGAACGGUUGGCCAGACAAGUCAUCCCUAUCAUGUACAUUGUACACUUGCUGUGCUCUGCAUUGAAAUCACAAAGAUGAAUAAAACAUGGUCCUUGCCUUGGAGAAACUCAGCAUGGUGAGCGAGACAUCUAUGUGAAGAAGUAAUUAUGAUACACUUUGAUAAAUGCUGUAAUUCAGUCAUUUGCAAAAUGCUGUGUGUGAUGGGACAAGCAGGUGACCUUGUAGUUGGUUGAAGAACAUUAAUUAUUCAACAUCAAGAUAGAGGGAGGUCUCUUCUGUGCCACAAAGAUGUAUAUCAAUUCUGUGUUAUCUAUGCUCUUUUUUAAAAGUUUAUAGGAAGACAUCAAAGUCAUGUUGAUCAAACUUGUCAAUGACAGCAGCUCAUGGGGGCUAGCUAGUACAUUGGCCAUGGAGCAGGCUUCAGAAAAUCCUUCAAAAUAUAGAAAACGUAUGUCAAGACU